GAUGAAGAACGUAGCGAAAUGCGAUACGUAAUGUGAAUUGCAGAAUUCAGUGAAUCAUCGAGUCUUUGAACGCACAUUGCGCCCGCCAGUAUUCUGGCGGGCAUGCCUGUCCGAGCGUCAUUUCAACCCUCGGGCCCCCCUCUGCGGGCGGCCCGGCGUUGGGGCUCAGGCGCCGUCUCUGCUCGGCGCCUGUCCCCUAAAUGCAGUGGCGGCCUCGCCGCUGCCUCCUCCGCGUAGUAGCACAAACCUCGCGGCUGGAAGGCGGCGCGGCCACGCCGUAAAACCCCCCAACUUUACCAAGGUUGACCUCGGAUCAGGUAGGAAUACCCGCUGAACUUAAGCAUAUCAAUAAGCGGAGGA
rnacentral:misc_RNA from 1 species